UGCAUCCCUUAUGUUUUCAUCAUACGAGUGUGUAAGCUAAACAGUAGAAAUAGAUCUGAUUUACAGUGUUCGAGCCACAGGCAAAUUUAUUUGAUCAGAGUUACAGAGCAAUAUUACAACCUGCUAUGAGGUCUUGACAAAGAAACCCAUUCACCUGUUGGAAAAGCAUUGAGUAUGGUUGAUUUCUCUCCUUAAUUAAGCUGUCGUUACAGGUAGGAGAAACUGUGUUGGGGAAAGCUUGGUACGCAUGGAAAUCUACAUCUUUUUUGCGAUCAUCCUGCAAAAAUUCACCCUCAAGGCUACUGUGGACCCCAAGGAUCUGGAUAUUAACCCAGUCGAAUGUGGGCUUGAAUCUUUACCCCCCGUUCAUGAAAUAAUUUUUAUAUCUCGAGAGUAAAGGAGGAAGCAUCACUAACGAUGCAAUGUUACUUCUUUUCUUCCUUCUCAUUGAACCAAUGUUUCCUCUUGAUUAUAAAACAAGUGACAUUAUAAUUAGCACUAAUUUCUAUUUAUCUUAAUGAGGAAUCGUCACUUUCCAGGAUUUUUAAUACUAUGUUUGCUUAUCAAUGUAUCUACCAAAUGUGCAUUUCUGGGAUAUGAGAAAUAAAUGUAGAAAUCCGAAC